rnacentral:rRNA from 1 species
UACAGAGGGUGCAAGCGUUGUUCGGAAUCAUUGGGCGUAAAGGGCGUGUAGGCGGUCUGUUAAGUCAUGUGUGAAAUCCCUCGGCUCAACCGGGGAACGACGCAUGAAACUGACAGCUAGAGUACCAAAGAGGGGGGUGGAAUUCCCGGUGUAGCGGUGGAAAUGCGUAGAUAUCUGGAGGAAUCCCGGUGGCGAAGGCGGCAUCCUGGACCGACAUUGACGCUGAUGAGCGAAAGCUAGGGGAGCAAACGGGG